UGGUGGAGCGAUUUGUCUGGUUAAUUCCGAUUACGAACGAGACUCUGGCCUAUUAAAUAGUUCGCCGAUUCCGAUCUGUCGGCGUUAACUUCUUAGAGGGACAAGUGGCUUUUAGCCACGCGAGAUUGAGCAAUAACA
rnacentral:rRNA from 1 species